rnacentral:rRNA from 1 species
CAGCCGCCGCGGGAAUACGUAGGGUGCAAGCGUUAAUCGGAAUUACUGGGCGUAAAGCGUGCGCAGGCGGUUUUGUAAGACAGUGGUGAAAUCCCCGGGCUCAACCUGGGAACUGCCAUUGUGACUGCAAGGCUAGAGUGCGGCAGAGGGGGAUGGAAUUCCGCGUGUAGCAGUGAAAUGCGUAGAUAUGCGGAGGAACACCGAUGGCGAAGGCAAUCCCCUGGGCCUGCACUGACGCUCAUGCACGAAAGCGUGGGGAGCAAACAGGAUUAGAUACCCCAGUAGUCCCUGUCUCUUAUAC